CAAGUUUAAAGUGUUAUAGAAAGGACAAAAAAAGAAUUAGGUCAAAAGAAGCAACAGAAAAAAAAUGAUAAAUCUUUUAAAAUCAGAGUGCAAAUCUGAGGCGCUCCAGCUGGCCUAACUGAACACCAAAAUUGCAAAAUUUAUUAAAAAAAAAAUGGUGCAUGCGUUUUGAGUGAUUCCAAAGCCAGAUUUUAGAUAAGAUCCUG
rnacentral:lncRNA from 1 species